rnacentral:rRNA from 1 species
GACGAACGCUGGCGGCGUGCUUAGCACAUGCAAGUCGAACGGAAAGGCCCUGCUUGCAGGGUACUCGAGUGGCGAACGGGUGAGUAACACGUGGGUGAUCUGCCCUGCACUUCGGGAUAAGCCUGGGAAACUGGGUCUAAUACCGGAUAGGAGCCAUUUUUAGUGUGAUGGUUGGAAAGUUUUUUCGGUGUAGGAUGAGCUCGCGGCCUAUCAGCUUGUUGGUGGGGUAAUGGCCUACCAAGGCGGCGACGGGUAGCCGGCCUGUGAGGGUGGACGGCCACAUUGGGACUGAGAUACGGCCCAGACUCCUACGGGAGGCAGCAGUGGGGAAUAUUGCACAAUGGGCGCAAGCCUGAUGCAGCGACGCCGCGUGGGGGAUGACGGCCUUCGGGUUGUAAACUCCUUUCGCUAGGGACGAAGCUUUUUGUGACGGUACCUAGAUAAGAAGCACCGGCUAACUACGUG